AUGGCCGGCGGCGCGGCGGACGAGCGACAGAUCCCCGUGGAUCCGUCCGUCCUCGAGCACCACCCUGAGUCCCCUCCUCGUCCGCUGCCGCAGCCGCAUGGCGCCCGGGAAGUUUCCUCGCCGCCGCUCCCAGAGGAGCUCCUGCUGGACAUCUUCCGCCGCAUUCCCGACCAGACCGACCUCGUCCUCACCUCCGCCGCCUGCGUCACAUUCCAUCGCCUCAUCACCGACCGCUCCUUCCUCCGGCAGUACCGCAGGCUCCACCCGCCGCCCCUCCUCGGCUUCCUCCAGUACGGAGACAAUGUCUUCCACCCCGCGGUCCCGCCUCACCCCUCCGCGCCGGCAGCUCGGGUCGUCGCCCUCGCCGGCGACUUCUCCUUCUCCUUCGUCCCCGCCCCCGACCCCGCUCACCGCUGGGCCGUCCGGGACAGCCGAGACGGCCGCGUCUUCCUUGAAGCAAGCCCCCGGGAAGGUUAUAGUGCCCGUGGAGUCGUCUUCACAGAGUUGGCGGUGUGCGACCCGUUGCACCGGCAGUAUCUCCUGCUUCCCCCAAUCCCCGGUGACCUAGCAGCUACCGUGGAAGACCCACUCAUGCGAAUACGGCCGCAUUCCAGCGAGACUUUCUUCGCUCCGCAAGGCGACGAGGCAGCAACUGCUGAUGAGACGUCAUUCAGAGUGAUCUGGAUGGUCCAGUGCGAAGCUAAGAUCGUGGGCUUUGUCUUCUCUUCCAGCACUAGGCAAUGGCGAGCCAUUCCAUCCCAGAGUUGGGCCAAUUUGUUAGCUGGCUUCGUGUCAUCGACUGGGAUGGCACUCUUCUACGGGCACUCUUCUACGGGCGCCAAUGUACGUGUGACUACUUUUACUGGCUGCCAAACUGUCAGUACGAUUUGA
rnacentral:rRNA from 1 species